AGUGAACGCUGGCGGUAGGCCUAACACAUGCAAGUCGAACGGCAGCACAGUAAGAGCUUGCUCCUACGGGUGGCGAGUGGCGGACGGGUGAGGAAUACAUCGGAAUCUACUUUUUCGUGGGGGAUAACGUAGGGAAGCUUACGCUAAUACCGCAUACGACCUACGGGUGAAAGCAGGGGAUCUUCGGACCUUGCGCGAUUGAAUGAGCCGAUGUCGGAUUAGCUAGUUGGCGGGGUAAAGGCCCACCAAGGCGACGAUCCGUAGCUGGUCUGAGAGGAUGAUCAGCCACACUGGAACUGAGACACGGUCCAGACUCCUACGGGAGGCAGCAGUGGGGAAUAUUGGACAAUGGGCGCAAGCCUGAUCCAGCCAUACCGCGUGGGUGAAGAAGGCCUUCGGGUUGUAAAGCCCUUUUGUUGGGAAAGAAAAGCAGCAGGUUAAUACCCCGCUGUUCUGACGGUACCCAAAGAAUAAGCACCGGCUAACUUCGUG
rnacentral:rRNA from 1 species